UCUGGCCCGCACACCGCAGCCUGGCGCGUGAGCGAGCAUCCGCAGCCCAUCUGGUCCCCGAGCCCGGGCGGGCGAGGGGGACAGCGCCGGCUCCCCGGAGCUGCAGUGGGUUGUGUAACCGCACGCGCGCGCGCGCGCGCGCGGGCAGCGGUGCGGGGUCAGCUCCGCUGCGGCGGCACCGGCCACCAAGUCCUGGGUGCCAGUUCAAGAAAGAGCAUCCCCCCACACACACUCCCGCAAGAACUGCAGGAUGGAGAGAGAGACAGAGGAGAGAGGAGAGAGGAGAGAGAGAGCGCGUUCAGGGCUGUUCGGGGCUGUUAGAUUAGAAUCACAGGCUGUGGGGGUGGCGGCGAGGGCGGCCACCAGCCCCUGGGAACGCGCCCUUGGAGCUGGCAGCGCUGGAAGGUGACGGCCACGCUGAACUCAGUUGCACCCCAUGAAUAGGGAGCAGGGCCUGUGCAAAGAGGAAGAUCAAGGUGACCGAGAGAGCAAGAGAUGGCUGGGAAGAGGCUGUUUCCUGCUUUUGCUAGGGAAGGAGCCGGGAGCUGCUGUCAUUCCUCCACUGUGCCCCACCUGGAUGGAUGUGCCACCCAGGAGCAGAAAAUUCUCUCCCCUGCCUGCUGUCGUUUCCAGUCACGGCCACCAAACCCAGGGAUUUGAUUGACAAACCUGGAGUGAUAGUGUUUCAGGGAUUUAUUCUUUUAACUGUUAGGGGAAAAAAAAUCAUUAUAUUGUGUACAUGAAUGAGAAGCCAUUAUUCUUGUAAUAGUGGAAUGUAUUGUAAACCACAGACUCUCAAUCAAUAAAAAAAUGUAAAUUAAAAUAAAUUUAUUUUAUUUAAGGGAUAA